rnacentral:rRNA from 1 species
AUGUACUUCUAUGUCAAACUGAAAAAAGAUAUUUGUUGUCUGGUAAAAGGCAAGUUCUACAGGACGGCGGUUCGACCCGCAAUGUUGUAUGGCGCGGAGUGUUGGCCGACUAAAAGGCGACAUGUUCAACAGUUAGGUGUGGCGGAGAUGCGUAUGUUGAGAUGGAUGUGUGGCCACACGAGGAAGGAUCGAGUCCGGAAUGAUGAUAUACGAGAUAGAGUUGGGGUAGCACCAAUUGAGGAGAAGCUUGUCCAACAUCGUUUGAGAUGGUUUGGGCAUAUUCAGCGCAGGCCUCCAGAAGCUCCAGUGCAUAGCGGACGGCUAAAGCGUGCGGAGAAUGUCAAGAGAGGGCGGGGUCGACCGAUUUUGACAUGGGAGGAGUCCGUUAAGAGAGACCUGAAGGAUUGGAGUAUCGACAAAGAGCUAGCUAUGGACAGGGGGAUAUAUGGUGUGUCUGCAUAUGCAUAA